rnacentral:lncRNA from 1 species
UUGAAUUAAUAUUUUGCUCAGUUUGUACUUGAAAAGGAAGAUUGAAAACAAAAAUUAAGAAAUAAUAAGAACAAAAUUUUUUCACUCAAACUAAUUAUUGCUCUACAUGUGACUACAACCAACCGAUUUCGCACCAUUUUGCGAUAAAUAACACUUACAUCCUCUGAUUUAUCCGCAUGAGGUUUUUGUUUUCCUCCAACCCUGUAAUAUCCGACCGCGACAUUUCAUAGGGAAAAAAGCAAAAAAAAGUAGAAAGGGUUACCAAACGAGAAUCAACCUUUCGACGCCGUCAAAAUUUCAAAUAACGUAAAUUUCGACGAUUUACCUUUCUAGAUGUACUGAAAGGAGGGUAAGUUGUUCCUGAUAGCUUCGAAUCUGGAAAAAGAAGUGCCAUAGAAAAUUAAGUUUUAUGUUCCCAUUGAGGCAAAAGGUCAAAAUCGAUAAAAAAACCUUACUUCACUAGCGUCGUCGGAAGUUGAGGUUGAAGCCGACGGUGAGGAUUUAUUGGACGACAACCAUUCUGAAAAAGAAGAAUAUUAGAUUUUGAAUUCCUAUUCAGACGAAAGGAGCAAAAUUGAAAAAAAAAUUGGAUCUAACUUUAAUGGAGCCGACGGAACGUUGUGUCCAGCGGUGUGAUAAAAUCAGACGGCGAGUGAUUGUGAAAAAAAAAGUGCAGAUGAGGUUUUUCGAUCCAUGUAAGAGAAAA